rnacentral:rRNA from 1 species
AGCGAACGCUGGCGGCAGGCCUAACACAUGCAAGUCGAGCGCCCGUAGCAAUACGGGAGCGGCAGACGGGUGAGUAACACGUGGGAACGUACCCUUCGGUUCGGAAUAACCCAGGGAAACUUGGAUUAAUACCGGAUACGUCCGUAAGGAGAAAGAUUUAUCGCCGAAGGAUCGGCCCGCGUCCGAUUAGCUUGUUGGUGGGGUAAUGGCCCACCAAGGCUACGAUCGGUAGCUGGUCUGAGAGGAUGAUCAGCCACACUGGGACUGAGACACGGCCCAGACUCCUACGGGAGGCAGCAGUGGGGAAUAUUGGACAAUGGGCGCAAGCCUGAUCCAGCCAUGCCGCGUGGGUGAUGAAGGCCCUAGGGUUGUAAAGCCCUUUCGGCGGGGAAGAUAAUGACGGUACCCGCAGAAGGAGCCCCGGCUAACUUCGUGCCAGCCGCCGCCGUAACAC